rnacentral:rRNA from 1 species
ACACUCCUGCGGGAGGCAGCAGUGGGGAAUAUUGGACAAUGGGCGCAAGCCUGAUCCAGCCAUGCCGCGUGAGUGAUGAAGGCCCUAGGGUUGUAAAGCUCUUUCACCGGUGAAGAUAAUGACGGUAACUGGAGAAGAAGCCCCGACUAACUUCGUGCCAGCAGCCGCGGUAAUACGAAGGGGGCCAGCGUUGUUCGGAGUUACUGGGCGUAAAGCGCACGUAGGCGGACUAUUAAGUCAGGGGUGAAAUCCCGGGGCUCAACCCCGGAACUGCCUUUGAUACUGGUAGUCUUGAGUUCGAGAGAGGUGAGUGGAAUUCCGAGUGUAGAGGUGAAAUUCGUAGAUAUUCGGAGGAACACCAGUGGCGAAGGCGGCUCACUGGCUCGAUACUGACGCUGAGGUGCGAAAGCGUGGGGAGCAAACAGGAUUAGAAACCCUUGUAGUCCCAUGA